rnacentral:rRNA from 1 species
UCGCGGUAAUACGUGGAAGACUAGUGUUAUUCAUCUUUAUUAGGUUUAAAGGGUACCUAGACGGUAUUUCUAGCCCAAAAUAGGGUACGGAUUUACUAGAGUUUUAUGUGAGGAGGGGAGUACUCGUAGAGUAGAGAUGAAAUUUUGUUAUACUAUGAGGUAACUGGUGGCGGCGAAAGCAACCUUCUAUGUAUAAACUGACGUUGAGGGACGAAGGCUUGGGUAGCAAAUAGGAUUAGAUACCCUAGUAGUCCAAGCAGACAAUUCUGAAUGCCAUAGAUUAGAUUAUUUUUGGUCUAUAAAUGAAAGUGUAAGCAUUCCACCUUAGGAGUAAUGUGGCAACACAGGAACUGAAAUCAUUAGACCGUUUCUGAAACCAGUAGUGAAGUAUGUUAUUUAAAUUGAUGGUCCACAAAAAACCUUACCACAACUUGAAUAUUUUUAAUUAAUACAAGCGUUGCACGGCUGUCUUCAGUUAAUGUCGUGAGAUUUUGGUUAACUCCAUUAAUUAACGUAAACCCUUACUUU